UACGGAAGGCAGCAGUGGGGAAUAUUGCACAAUGGGCGCAAGCCUGAUGCAGCCAUGCCGCGUGUAUGAAAAAGGCCUUCGGGUUGUAAAGUACUUUCAGUCGUGAGGAAGGUGUUAAGGUUAAUAACCUUAGCAAUUGACGUUAGCGACAGAAGAAGCACCGGCUAACUCCGUGCCAGCAGCCGCGGUAAUACGGAGGGUGCGAGCGUUAAUCGGAAUUACUGGGCGUAAAGGGCACGCAGGCGGUUAAUUAAGUUGGAUGUGAAAUCCCCGGGCUUAACCUGGGAAUGGCAUUCAAGACUGGUUAGCUAGAGUCUUGUAGAGGGGGUUAGAAUUCCAUGUGUAGCGGUGAAAUGCGUAGAGAUGUGGAGGAAUACCGGUGGCGAAGGCGGCCCCUGGACAAAGACUGACGCUCAUGUGCGAAAGCGUGGGGAGCAAAUAGGGAUUAGAUA
rnacentral:rRNA from 1 species